UACGGGGGGGGGCAAGCGUUGUUCGGAAUUACUGGGCGUAAAGGGCUCGUAGGCGGCCAACUAAGUCCGACGUGAAAUCCCCAGGCUUACCUGGUGAACUGCGUCGGAUACUGGAUGGCUUGAAUCGGGAGAGGGAUGCGGAAUUCCAGGUGUAGCGGUGAAAUGCGUAGAUAUCGUGGAGACACCGGUCGGCGAAGGCGGCAUGCCUGGACCGCAUUCGUCGCGUGAGGAGCGAAAGCCAGGGAGGCAAACGGG
rnacentral:rRNA from 1 species